AGUCGUCAGGGCGACUAUAAACAGCCAUUAAGCCCUGUAGCGUCCACACCCCAGCAAUCAGGCUGGGGUAUAUGUAUGGUGGGGUUGGA
rnacentral:ribozyme from 1 species